CGGGUGAGUAACGCGUGAGGAACCUGCCUCAAAGAGGGGGACAACAGUUGGAAACGGCUGCUAAUACCGCAUAAGCCCACAGCUCGGCAUCGAGCAGAGGGAAAAGGAGUGAUCCGCUUUGAGAUGGCCUCGCGUCCGAUUAGCUAGUUGGUGAGGUAACGGCCCACCAAGGCGACGAUCGGUAGCCGGACUGGGAGGUUGAACGGCCACAUUGGGACUGAGACACGGCCCAG
rnacentral:rRNA from 1 species